UACGUAGGGUGCGAGCGUUAAUCGGAAUUACUGGGCGUAAAGCGUGCGCAGGCGGUUUUGUAAGACAGGCGUGAAAUCCCCGGGCUCAACCUGGGAACUGCGCUUGUGACUGCAAGGUUAGAGUACGGCAGAGGGGGGUGGAAUUCCACGUGUAGCAGUGAAAUGCGUAGAGAUGUGGAGGAACACUAAUGGCGAAGGCAAUCCUCUGGGCCUGCACUGACGCUCAUGCACGAAAGCGUGGGGAGCAAACAGGAUUAGAUACCCCC
rnacentral:rRNA from 1 species